rnacentral:rRNA from 1 species
UCUCGGCAAAUUAUCCUCAUAAGUUUGACGACAAGAGGUACCACUUUUAUUGUUAUAGUUAUAAAUUUAAUUUUUAAUUAUAGGUUUAAAAGGGGGUGACACAUAAUCGGAAGCCCCGACUGUUUACUAAAAACACAUUUCUGUGCAAUCAUGAGAGUGAUAGAAUACGGAAUGAAAUUUGCCCGAUGCCAUUAAUAUAAGAAAGGUCAUGUGGAUAAUGUGAUUACUUGAAAGUCUGGUCAAUGGCGGUCUUAACCCUGAGGAUCCUAAGGUAGCAUAAUCAUUUGGCCAUUAAAUGUGGUCUGGUAUCAAUAGUGUAACGAUGGCUUUACUGUCUCUACUACUUGCUCAGUGAAAUUGAAUUACGCGUGAAGAUGCGCGUUACUUUCGAGAAGACGGGAAGACCCUAUGCAGCUUACUGG